rnacentral:rRNA from 1 species
AGCGAACGUUGGCGGCAGGCCUAACACAUGCAAGUCGAACGAACUCUUCGGAGUUAGUGGCGGACGGGUGAGUAACACGUGGGAACGUGCCUUUAGGUUCGGAAUAACUCAGGGAAACUUGUGCUAAUACCGAAUGUGCCCUUCGGGGGAAAGAUUUAUCGCCUUUAGAGCGGCCCGCGUCUGAUUAGCUAGUUGGUGAGGUAAAGGCUCACCAAGGCGACGAUCAGUAGCUGGUCUGAGAGUAUGAUCAGCCACAUUGGGACUGAGACACGGCCCAAACUCCUACGGGAGGCAGCAGUGGGGAAUCUUGCGCAAUGGGCGAAAGCCUGACGCAGCCAUGCCGCGUGAAUGAUGAAGGUCUUAGGAUUGUAAAAUUCUUUCACCGGGGACGAUAAUGACGGUACCCGGAGAAGAAGCCCCGGCUAACUUCGUG